UGCAAUUUUGUUCUCCAAGAAAUUCUGUUUUGUUAAUUUUGAACCGGUCUCAGAGCCAGAAGGUCCAAGUUGUUCUGCUGUCCUUGACAGGAAAACUGUCAUUUCACUUCUUAUGAAUACUCUUUGCAAGUGGCCACCUUUCCUCCACCUUCAAAGAAAGGCUGCCAGCCUUAUUCCAUGAAUAUACUCGCCUUGAUGCCUGCAUAUAUAAUUGUUGGCUAUUCAGAGACAUUCAAAAGAAACAAGCAAAUUUCUGCAGAAUGGUAAAAUGAUUUAAAGAGAAAUGGCAGAUCCAUAAAACCAGGCUUAACCCGUAGUUGGUGUGGUAGUUUUAGUCUAGGCCUUCCUUGGUGACCAGUUUGUAAACAAGGAAGUGGCCAUAUACCCAGUAUUCCCUAUGAUUUUUACGUAAGCCAGGGUAUAAAGAAGAAGGGAAGAGAGGCCUUUGCUCUCUUCCCUUCCGGUGGUUCCGGAGGCGCAGGUUCCCUGCAGUCUGUUCUGCUGUGUGGGGGACUGAGGCCUGAUGAGGCCUUGGAGACCUUGGGAGGCGGAGGGUGCCAGCAGUUGUUCAACGUGAUUUCUGCUGUCCCAAGGAAAGCAAGGUUUUGUGCUGGAUCUUGGGGACUUGGCAGGGAGCCAAACAAAAACAGACAGUUGGUUACUAUAGUUAAUAUUGCUGUUAUCCAGGAAAGUAGGAAGUCAGAAGUAAUCCCAGGACUGCAAGUGACUUUUUCAACUGGCACCUGCACUAAAUUCUUCUCAAGUCUCUUACCAGAUGUGCAAAGUUGUAGCAGAUUAUCAAGUGGUAUUGAGUCAUGACUUAAAGCUCCUCACCUUGGAAGACUUUUUUCUGCUGAGAAGAAAUCACUUCUCUCCAUCACAGCAUCCAAGGAUAUGGAAUGUGUCCUUUGAACCAUUUCUGUGAGAGUGCCUCAGGCACCAAUAGCAAAGAGACAGGUAAGUAGCAAAAAUCACAGCAUCGUUUCCAAACCCUUUGUAUGAAAUGACUCAUGUUCAGCUGAAGCUGACUCGUUACCAUCUGUCUCCCUGAUCGUGCUUUUCUACUUUGUUGUGUGUGAUAUAAAGGCUUGAAUCAAUAAAAAUACUUAACUGCUGAGCUACUUUAAAACUGGUUUUUUCUUCGUGUCUCUUGACACAAUACUGGCACUCAGCAAUGAGAAGAAUACAACAUCUCUCACUCUCUACAACUACCUGAAAGGAGGUUGUAGCCAGGUGGGUGUUGGUCUCUUCUCCCAGGCAACCAACAGUAGGACAAGAGGGCAUGGUCUUAAACUCUGCCAGGGGAGGUUUAGGUUGGAUAUUAGGAAGAAAUAUUUUACAGAGUAAUCAGACAUUGGUAUGGGCUGCACAGGGAGAUGGUGGAUUCACUGUGCCUGGAGGUUCUUAAGAUGAGACUGGAUGUGGCACUUAGUGCUAUGGUCUGGUAACCACGACGGUGUUGGAUUAAGGGUUGGACUUGAUGAGCUUGGAGGUCUUUUCCAACUUGGUUGAUUCUAUGUUUCUAUGAUAUGAUUCUAUCUAUACUGUUUGACAUAAAUUACACCUUUACUGUCACAGUAGCUUCUGCAUGGCAUACAUUAUGCAUCUGCUUAUUUAGCUCAGCCCUGAGUUUGUAUCCAGAUCUGGAGCUUGCUCACCCAGUCUUCUCUCUGGCUUGUGUUUCAGCCUACUCUU